UUUAACUGGAGAAUAGCCCUUCGAAAGAGGGAUUAAUANUCCGUAACAUUAUAGAGUGGCAUCACUCAGUAAUUAUAGNUCCGGCGGUUAAAGAUGGGCGUGCGCCUGAUUAGAUAGUUGGCGGGGUAACGGCCCACCAAGUCUGCGAUCAGUAACUGGUGUGAGAGCACGACCAGUCACACGGGCACUGAGACACGGGCCCGACUCCUACGGGAGGCAGCAGUAAGGAAUAUUGGUCAAUGGACGCAAGUCUGAACCAGCCAUGCCGCGUGGAGGAUUAAGGCCCCCUGGGUUGUAAACUCCUUUUAUCUGGGAAGAAAUGCCAUUUUUCUAAAUGGUUUGACGGUACCAGAGGAAUAAGCA
rnacentral:rRNA from 1 species